rnacentral:lncRNA from 1 species
AAGGCCUUAAAAGCCAAGAAAGUGGUGCCAUAAAAAGAAGGGCACUUGCCUUCUGGCAGCCCAAGACCCUAUGGCUCUGGAGGCAGCCAAAUACCCUCUCAAGAAUGCCCAGGAGAAGCCAGCUUAAACAUCAUCAAAUUCCCCCUGAUAACUGGGUCAGCCAGGAAGAGACAGAAGACAACACAUCUGUAUUUACUGUGGAUGUCCAAGCCAACAAGUCUCAGAUGAAAGAGGCUGUGAAGAAAGUCAAUGACAUCUGUGACAUUGCUAUGGCCAAAGUCAAUACCCUGAUAAGGCCUAAUGGAGAGAAUAAGAUGUAUGUUUGGCUGGCUCCUGAUUAUGAGCCUCUGGAUGUUGCCAACAAAAUUGGGUUCAUCUAAGCU